GACGGUAGGCGCGAGCGUUGUCCGGAUUUAUUGGGCGUAAAGAGCUCGUAGGCGGCUUGUCGCGUCGAAUGUGAAAUCCUGCGGCUCAACUGCAGGCUUGCAUUCGAUACGGGCAGGCUAGAGUUCGGUAGGGGAGACUGGAAUUCCUGGUGUAGCGGUGAAAUGCGCAGAUAUCAGGAGGAACACCGGUGGCGAAGGCGGGUCUCUGGGCCGAUACUGACGCUGAGGAGCGAAAGCGUGGGGAGCGAACAGG
rnacentral:rRNA from 1 species